AUUGGAAUAGCUGGGUCAAAGAAUGGUUCCAUUCCAGUUUUUUGAGGAAUCUCCAUACUACUUUCCAGAGUGGUUGCACCAACAUUCAGUCCCACCAGCAAU
rnacentral:pre_miRNA from 1 species